GGAUAGCUCGGUUGGUAGAGUAUGAGACUCUCAAUCUCAGGGUUGUGGGUUUGAGUCCUAUGUUGGGCA
rnacentral:tRNA from 1 species